rnacentral:rRNA from 1 species
UGGUGGAGCGAUUUGUCUGGUCAAUUCCGAUAACGAACUAGACUCUAGCCUACUAAAUAGUUCGGGGACCCCACAAAGGUUCCCCGCUUCAACUUAUUAGAGGGACA